CCAACUGCUGGCCCAUGACGUGCUUUUUUCGGCCCACUGUCCGAUCAUUAAAGCAGACAAGCCUGCGGAAGCAAACCGGGCAGGGGAGGGGAGGGGAGGGAAAGCUCGAAAUAGAAGUCGAAGCACGUUUUACUCCUCUCCUCCUGCUGCUGACAUUGACAAUCAAUUCUCUGCUCCUUUGGGGCCUUAUGUUCCCCUCGAUAAAUUACGCGUUAUCAUGGUCAAACGAUGCCGCCUUCUCUGUUACUAGAUUUAAAAAAAAAAAAGAAAAAAAAGAAAAAAAAAGAAAAUUGGGCAUGACUUAGAAAACGAUCAAUUUUGUAGCCAAUUUGAGCUUCUGCUCUAUCUGAGUAGAUAGCUCUUAUCCUAGAAAGGGAGGGAAAAGUUGCGACCUUGCACUUCUUCAGAAUGAAGAAUUCUUUGUAGUCUUGGAGAACUUUUUGUUUCCUGAUUCCUAUUUCCUAACCUGUUUACAUGUUUAUGAGAAAAGGAUCUAUAUUCCUUCUAGUGAAUGGUAAUAUUAGCUCUUGCUUUCCUUAUCGAGGCAUUUUGUACUUGGAAAUCCUGUUGACAAGAAUACUUCCCCGUAGAGGUAGAACUGGAGAAGUAAAGGGCAUUCAUUUCAUGUGCAAACUACUUCAGGUCAGGGCAUUGUUUCAGAGUUUGGGUAUCACGGGAUUCUGGACUCGUGAAAUAACCAAAUCUUAUGCGACCUUCUUGAGCAUAUAAUUCACCUUCUGCUGGGAAACUUACCUGAACUGCAGACCGUACCUGUGAACCCAAAUCCUUUCCUGAAUAACCUGACAGGAAAGCCCGUAAUAAUGAAGCUAAAGUGUGGAAUGGAGUACAAAGCUUUUCAGGUUUCCUUGUCUCAGUGGAUUCUUACAUGAAUUUUGCAGCUUGCCAACACUGAGGAAUAUAUCGAUGGGCAAUUCCCUGGAAGUCUCGGAGAGAGUAUUGAUCAGAGGACGAGGAUUUAGAAGAUGCCGAUCGAGACUGACUAAUUCGUAGAACCAAAUGUAGCUUAAUUUGUGGCAUUCUCUUGUUGAGCCCCUUAGUUAUGUCUCUUUGAAAUGCUUUUUUGCAUUUUAAAUAUAUCAGCCCCAUCGGGGAUUCGGAAUUUAAACUUGAAUUGCAUAAUUCAGACUCAGAGACUCAGAGUGUCCAUGACAAACCUUGGUUGAGCUUGGCGUAUA